GACGAACGCUGGCGGCGUGCUUAACACAUGCAAGUCGAACGGCAAGGCCCUGCGUUUGUGGGGUGCUCGAGUGGCGAACGGGUGAGUAACACGUGAGUAACCUGCCCUUGACUUUGGGAUAACUUCAGGAAACUGGGGCUAAUACCGGAUAGGAGCUCCUGCUGCAUGGUGGGGGUUGGAAAGUUUCGGCGGGUGGGGAUGGACGCGCGGCUUAUCAGCUUGUUGGUGGGGUAGUGGCUUACCAAGGCAUUGACGGGUAGCCGGCCUGAGAGGGUGACCGGCCACAUUGGGACUGAGAUACGGCCCAGACUCCUACGGGAGGCAGCAGUGGGGAAUAUUGCACAAUGGGCGGAAGCCUGAUGCAGCAACGCCGCGUGCGGGAUGACGGCCUUCGGGUUGUAAACCGCUUUCGCCUGUGACGAAGCGUGAGUGACGGUAAUGGGUAAAGAAGCACCGGCUAACUACGUG
rnacentral:rRNA from 1 species